CCUACGGGAGGCUGCAGUGGGGAAUAUUGGACAAUGGGCGAAAGCCUGAUCCAGCCAUGCCGCGUGUGUGAAGAAGGCCUUCGGGUUGUAAAGCACUUUCAGUGGGGAAGAAAGCCUUGGGGCUAAUACCCUCGAGGAAGGACAUCACCCACAGAAGAAGCACGGGCUAACUCCGUGCCAGCAGCCGCGGUAAUACGGAGGGUGCGAGCGUUAAUCGGAAUUACUGGGCGUAAAGCGCGCGUAGGCGGUCUGAUAAGCCGGUUGUGAAAGCCCCGGGCUCAACCUGGGAACGGCAUCCGGAACUGUCAGGCUAGAGUGCAGGAGAGGAAGGUAGAAUUCCCGGUGUAGCGGUGAAAUGCGUAGAGAUCGGGAGGAAUACCAGUGGCGAAGGCGGCCUUCUGGACUGACACUGACGCUGAGGUGCGAAAGCGUGGGUAGCAAACAGGAUUAGAUACCCUGGUAGUC
rnacentral:rRNA from 1 species